rnacentral:rRNA from 1 species
UACAGAGACUGCAAGCGUUAUUCGGAUUCACUGGGCGUAAAGGGUGCGCAGGCGGCCGAGUGUGUGAGGCGUGAAAGCCUGGGGCUUAACUCCAGAAUUGCACCUCAAACUACACGGCUAGAGCAUUGGAGAGGGUAGCAGAAUUCAUGGUGUAGCAGUGAAAUGCGUAGAUAUCAUGAGGAAUACCAGAGGCGAAGGCGGCUACCUGGACAAUUGCUGACGCUCAGGCACGAAAGCGUGGGGAGCAAAAGGG